UUCCUGCAACCUCAAUAAGCAUUCUCUAAUCCUGUAGAGGAUUGGAACUGAUUUCAGUGGAGGCACAUGUUUGCUAGGUUUUUAUGCAUUUGCACAGGAAGAUAUUGAGUGUUUCCAUUCAUUUCAGGGAUCCCUAUUCAGUGGAACUCCUCAACGUAAUGGAAAAGCCAUUAUUUUGGUUGAAGGAAGAGGUUUGUAAGGGGGCACUUGAAUCUGAACCAAGGACCCCUUGAUCUGCAGUCAAACACUCUACCUCUGAGCUACACCCCCAUGGCUGCUGUGGAGGGUCUGCUCUAGACCAAGUGGCACCCCAAGCAAGACGUGUCUUCGGUGCCCCCCCCCAAUAUGUUAAAAUUUUUCAUUGCAUUUGUAGCUCAGUACAUGAUUUCGAUGUACAAUUUCGAUGCAUGAUUUUCUCUGUCAUAUAAGAUGCUAAAUUUGCAGGCUAGGUUCUGUAAACCUGUAUUUAUUCAUGCCAUAUAUAAGCAAAUAAAACAAAUGCAUUUUCUUUAA